GACGUAGGGUCCGAGCGUUGUCCGGAGUUACUGGGCGUAAAGGGUGCGUAGGCGGUCGGGUAAGUCUGAUGUGAAAUCUCACAGCUUAACUGUGAAACUGCAUUGGAUACUAUCCGGCUAGAGGAAUGGAGGGGAGACUGGAAUACUUGGUGUAGCAGUGAAAUGCGUAGAUAUCAAGUGGAACACCAGUGGCGAAGGCGAGUCUCUGGACAUUUCCUGACGCUGAGGCACGAAAGCCAGGGGAGCAAACGGG
rnacentral:rRNA from 1 species